AGAGGGCAGAAUCAUCUGUGGGCUGACAUUCACAGCUAAGCUCCAGACUAAAGAGCUUAACCGUGGAAGAGGGAAGAAGCUUUCAAAAGCAGAGCUUACAUGGCAUCAGGAUUUGUCACUGCUAUUCAAGAGCAACGGGAGUUCUGGAUGUUUUGUAAAGGUAAUGGCUGCCAAGGCUUACUCUUAUUUAUUUAGAAAAAAAUGAAACAAAAUUCUUCCUUACAUCUGAAAGAGACAGCUGAUAUGCUUUCAUUUGAUUCUUUCUUGUUAACAUUUUACUUCUUAUAUGCCUUUAGCAUGUUCAAAGGAGUUGAUAGUCUUUACAGAGGGGAUCCAGAAAUCUUGCUGGCUCCUCCAGCUGCAAAUGUCAUGACUGACCAUGGAGGUUCUCUGAUAGAAAAUUGCUUGUGUAGAUUAGGUGCUGGGGAGCAGGGCAUUAUGCUUUCACAUACUGACACCUUCUUGAGGGUGUGUCUUGAGUCCAGCUUUGAUUUAGCACUUUCAUACCCUCAUAGGGAAUCACUGAUGGCUGCUCAAGCACACAAGGAUGCAUAAAUCAUUCAGAUCUUUUAGCUAUUUGGAGCUGUCAGUGCACCGACUGCACAUCAUCUGCCAUUGUAACUCCUGCAGCAGCUCUCUGCUUCCUGUUGUGCUAUAUCUGAUCUCUGGGUGACUCCCAUCAGUGACAGGUAGCACUCAACUGCUAAAGGGCCCCAAAAGUUCGUCUCCUGUUGAUGCAGGAAAGGAAAAUACAGCAGGUUGUGCUGUAUUUACUGUGUCACAGAACUGCUCUCACAACAGUAACACCAUUAACUUUAUCUCGCCUUGCCCUGACCUUCUCUCCUACCUAGAUCCAGAAGACCAUAGUUAUAGUAGUGCUAUAGAUGCCUUUAUAUACCUUCUACUGCUUUCGAGGUAGGCUGUGACUUUUUCUCAAGCAAGUGGUUAUCUCUUUAUCUGAUUUCAUACCUGCCUGCAUAGGACCUCAAGCCAAGGCACCACCUGAGAUGCUCUGUAUUCAAACUGUCAAAGAACUAUGACACCGUCACACCUAAAACCUUCAAUCAGAAGCAAGAAAUAGAACACUGUCAAAUUAAUGGCUGGAGCAAAAUCAAGGAAACGAGUGAUACUCCUUCAAAAAUGUAAGUAAACCAUUUCAACUUCCAGACUGCAGAUUCUCAAGUAACCAGUGAAGUUGUCAGUGACCAAAACAGGUACUUCUGAUAAAUGACCAUUCUCAACCAAGUUUAUUGUACUUCUUGGCUACAAAAAAAGUUAUUUGUGAUGCUCAUGGAAAGUUUUAGUGAGAGACUGUAGGCCCAGCCCAGCUGGGCAGAGAAAGCUGUAGACACGAGUUCUUUGUCUCAGACAAAAGAGAAAAGCUAUUUGCAUUUGCCUGCAUGAGAGGGAAUUGAUCUUCAGGUCUAACAGGUUUUUAUUUUUCAUAAACUAUUUAAUUCAGUGUGGGCAUGAAAGAGUUUUUAAUACUAAGUGAUUAUUUUGGUGCUAACAGCAUGCCUCGGUGUCUUUUCUCUUGGGAAUACUGUAUUUUUAAUAGGUAGUCUUUUUCAGAAGCAAAAUGAGUAGUAACAUUUGUAGUUCCAGAUAAAUAUGAGUUUUAAUUAAGAGCCCAAUCCCCCCAUGCCUUUCUCUGACAGUCCACAAAGCUGGUUUCACUUGAAGUUGUCAUGUUCAUUAUAAAUCUGCAAAAUGAAUACUCACAAGACAAACGAGAGGAAAAUACUCAUAGGGUACAUGUAAUUAGCACACAACUUAUUAUGAAUUGUGAUGAUCUCCUUGAUAAUUAAUCAGCCUUACAGAUGAUGUCUGGAGAUGGUCCAGCCAGGAGACAUUUCAACAAAUAAGACCAAAUUCCUACGGGAACAGAGGAAGACGUGCUAAGAAAUAGGAAGGCAAAAACUGCAGGCCUAGAACAAACAUUUGAUAGGCUCUAGCCUCAGCUAAUCAAAGAUGGAAUCUCAGGGUUCUGCAGGAGGACAUCCAUGUGCAUCUUCAUGGUUACGGAGAACAUGCAGUGGAGCAGCUCUUCUGGCGUAUUGAUUUGCCUUCAGAAGAAAAUGGUUGGAUUACACUACCUGUACAGCAACAGGGUGCACUUACUUGUGAAGGAACGAAAAUGAGAUGAUGUAGUAAGGACUUGGGCCUUUCCUCCAUAGUCCAGGGUAGGAGAAGGACCCAGACUCUGCAUGUAAGCAGGGUCACACUGCAGAAAGGGGUCUCAGGCAAAAGAAGAUGCUGAGGGCAAAGCUCAGCAUUAGCAUGCCUCUGUUCACCUGAGUCUAAGUUGUUGUGAUAGGCCUGAAUUUUUUUUUUGAGUAACUGUUUACCCUUCUUGGUUUCUGCACUCUCCUUUAAAAUGCAGCUGAAGUAGUGCUCAGAAGACUUCUCAGUAACAUGCUGGAGCCCUUACCCAGGAAAAAAAGGGGCUCAGACAGUUGUGGACCCACUUGCACCCUGCCACCAGAGUGCUCCCAGUGGGGCGCAUAUCUCUGGGAGCUAGGCUACCACAGAGAGAGACCUCCAGUCACCUUGUUGCCUCCAGCUACCUCCAGCCUCUUGCAACAUUUGAUCUGGGCAACAGGACAACUCAAGACUGGCCUGAAAGGAGCCUACGCUUUCUGGCACAAGUUCCUCAAAUUCUCAUGAUUCCCAGCUCACGUCUGGAGAUCUCCAUACAAAGCAGCAGGGAGGAAAGCUGUGUGGAGGAGGAGAUGAGAAGAUGACUGUAGUAGCACCUGUAUCCCCUCAGAUCAAGAGCAAAUGUGGUUCACAGCAGAAACCUAAUGAGGGAACAGAGAGGCUGACCAUCUGCAAUUCGGUGUCUUUACCAUUUCUAUAAAUGAUCUGGAUGCAGCACUUGAAGUCAUACCAAGCACAGACUUCAGUGUUAUUUUGUGGGAAAACAUUUAGAAACUGCAAGGAAGCUGUAAAAGAAUGCAACCAGGAUCCAGCUUCUGAAGACUAGAAAAAUGACUAGAUUGUUUUCAAGACUAGAAAGCUUCUAAAGUAAUGGAGAAAAAGUGUUCAAGAGAAAAGUGCUCCUGGGGCAAAAAGGCAAAUGAUGACAAAAUAGGGGCUCUUUUGCCAUCAUCUACUCGCUCUUCUUGGUCUCCUGGAGGGCUGUCACUUGAAUGAGGCCAAAGGACAGACUGGGAUCCAUUGCUGCCACAACGGAUGCUGGGGUGAAGAUGGGGAUGCCAUCUUUUGUGGGGAUGCCACAAGAGCUGGAGUGAGGAUGGCCACCCAGUAAGCCCAGUUGCUGCUCUCCUGCUGCUGAGCCUGGUGGGAUCACACUCUGUAGCUGAAAGAGGUAUAAAGCAGUAUAUUUUACCUCCUAUUUGCUGUGGAAAUUUGCCUGUCACAGGUUUGCUGAAGGUGGUAACUCACUAAGCCACAAGCUCAGUCACGCGUUUAAUUCUGAAGUGUGGUGGGAUUUAAUCUCAGUCCAUAUGAAGACAUUAAACAACACCCACUGGCAAACCCAUCAUCCACAACCUGGAACAGGUCCUGCACAGCAGCUUCCUCCUCAUGCGUGGAAGUGAUUCCUCCCAUCCAGCACAUGCUUGGAGGCACAUCUGAAGUAUGAUGUACAGUUUCCAUGCUAACAGUCCUGUCUCUGAAAGAAAGCUGCUUUGGAACAGGUGUCUCUGAGAGAAUUGUGAGGAGAUGGUGACCCUAAGCUGUGCCUCAGCAAAAUACAAAUGCUAGAGCACAGUCCUGAUCAGACCUCAUCUUGCAAACAUAUGACUUUGGGCAGCUUUGCAAAUGACUUGGCUAUCCUGAGCAAGUCUAUUUUAAUGUCAAGAGGAGACCAGCCACACACUCACUCAUGCUACACCUCCAGGCUAUCCAUUUGCAGAACUAUGUCAGGGUUGUGGGAUUACACAGGGCUCUGUGUGUGAAUGCUUUCUGUGGGCUCUGUCCUGGAAACCUCUUUUUUCUUGAAAAUGGGCCAAUGGGCCUCUUUCUGCUUUGCACCGCAUGGGGACGACUGUGACCGGGCCACACCAGCCCCCAGUCUACACAUACAGCACUUUGUCAACAAGUUAACAACCUAUAAUUGUGAAGAAAAAGAUGCACCUGGAGAAUUUCGAGAGGACAUUAACCGUGUUUUCAUUGCACUGCUGCACUGGCCUGCAGUCCCACAGUUACAACACUGAAAACUCAAUCUAUUUCCUUGUUACUCAUGAUCCUCCUGGUGAUAUUAAAGGCACAGCACGGUGGUUGACCAAGGAACAGUCACUCUUGCAAUCAGUCUCAGUUCAAAGUAGAGAGAGAGGAACCACAAUCACGCACAAAAGCUUGAGACAUAAGAACUUGUAACCAUGACAGCUGCAUCCUACAAACACUACAGAAGACAGUAACAGCAAUUCCUCCCUGCAAAGCCUGUGUUUACUCAGUUUCCUUUGUAUGCAUUGGCAGUCCCCAUUUAAGUACAGUAUCAGUACCACGACAAAACAGUUUUUAAGGUGUCUUGUCAUCAGAGGAAUGUUGUUGACCCUUCCCUCUUUUCAUGGGGUAAUACAGCAAGUAUUUUCUUUGAUGUGGAUCCUUGAGGCACUGAACAUGUGAACUUUCCAGGACUGCGUUAUUUUAUCUCAAAUAAGGGUCAGGAUUUGCAGGUAGAAAGGGUAUGAUCAACUAGUAAGAAUGGAGGAUUGAAAAAGAUUGACAUGGAAGACGGUUGUCCUGGUUUAGUUGGCAGUUAUACAGACCUGAUGUAGUGGAAAUGUCAUGACCUGAAACGGUGAUUGAGCACCUGGUGGGAAGGCAGGGCCAAUCCAGGGGAGCUCAGGUGCAUGCAAUGCUCCUGAGUGACGAGAAGGGGUGGAGCCAGGAUCCAUUCCCCUCCCAGACCUCAUUUAAGGGUUGGCAGCGGAGGUAAAGGUAUCUUCUGUGGGAGGUUCCUGUCUACUGAAGGUCUUCUACAGGCCAAAUAGGAUGAAAGAAACUGAAGUUACUAUUCUGACCCUGCCAGCCCAAUUUCUCUAGGGUGCCUGGAGGGAAACUCGCACACAGACAUCAAGAGAACAGCAAGGCCAAACGGAAGAGAGCUCAGGUGACGCUUCUUGGACUCUCCUGCUCCCCUCCUGCAACUGUAGUGAAGCUGAGGUGUGAAGCAGCAAGUACUAAGUCUUGCUUUCACAUAGCCAGUGUAGGCAGUGCUACCCCAUUCACAAACAAUCAAAGUAGGUCCUCCAAAAUGGUCUCGUCCAUCUGUGCCCUCAAAGCUUCUCACCUUCACACCUCAAAAUAACCAACAUACUUUGACGUGUUGGAGCAUUGUGUCAAACAUCUGGAGGCCAGAAAGGGCCUGUUCAUCAUCUCACUAUGAUUGGUUCAGUCUAACCACAGUCUGAAUAAUUCUGUGCAGGAGGAAAAGUUUAGGACUGGGUUUCCUGGGCGGAGAUGCUAUGCUGACUGAAUAUCAAUUACCAGUGUCAUUACUGCUUCAGUCCUGUAGUUCUUCAUAAUGCCACUGCCAGAAUCAAGUACGUGAAAGACAAGUGCAGGGGAAGAAGAUGAUGUGUCUGAAGGAGGUAUUCUCGAGCAAUGCAGAGCUUCAUCCACUGGUGAAAAGCAGAAAACAUACAAACAAAAUAAUGUUUUGCUGACACUUUGCUGUACUGUUCAGUGCAGUUACAUGAACAGACAACGUUUCCCAUGGAAGAUGCCAACUAAAGCAAUGAACUGGGAGUCUGUAUUGAGAAGACUUCCAGAGGGAGCUGCAAAUCAGCAGCAGCUGGAUUGGACUCAGAAGGAAUGAUGAUUUUGAUGGGAUUAUAGCUGAAUUCGAUUAAAAUGUUUUCUUUGUUAAAUAUAUCUGUUAUUUUCCUAAAUACCAAGAGGUACACUGACUCCUACUAGUCCUAGAAGAUUUCAAAUAUGCUUUUUGCUCAGAUUUAGGGAGUGUAGGAAGUGUCAGGUAGUACAGACGCAAGGGAGUUUAAGUACUUCUGCUAGUAUAUUGCAACACGCGAGUCCAGCUGACAAACAUAACUUAUGUAUGAACUUUUAACCUGACAUUUUCCCUUUAGUUUCAAUGGAUGGUAUCAAUUUUGAAUGUAUUACUAUUGUAAGAUUUACGGACGCUUGCUGAAGGCCACUGACUUCCAAUCAAGAAUCUGACAAUAUGGUUGCUUAGAGGCUUCUUCGCAGUCCUUCUGUAUCUUGUUUCUUAAAAGCUUUCCAAGUACAUGGCAAAGGAAUGCAAUGAAACAAAUGUCACUUUGUUCUUGAAAACAUAUGGAAAAAGCUUUCAGAAUACAACAGAUGCUUGAAUCUUCUAAUAGAUUUAUCUGUAUUCUUGUUUGUUUUGUUGACUAAAAUGUAAAAGUGUUUUUUAAAAACAGAUGUUAAAAGUCAUAUAGAUGUACUUUAGUUCCAUGGAGGUAGGACACUUAAAAACUGUAGCAAACCUGAACUUGUUUUAGCUGCUAUUUUAUAUGUGAAUGCAAAACAUCCUCAGUGAAAUGGUGUGUGUUUAAAAAAAAAAAAAAAAAGUCAAU